rnacentral:rRNA from 1 species
AUUGAACGCUGGCGGCAUGCCUUACACAUGCAAGUCGAACGGUAACAGGUCUUCGGAUGCUGACGAGUGGCGAACGGGUGAGUAAUACAUCGGAACGUGCCCGAUCGUGGGGGAUAACGAGGCGAAAGCUUUGCUAAUACCGCAUACGAUCUACGGAUGAAAGCGGGGGAUCUUCGGACUUCGCGCGGACGGAGCGGCCGAUGGCAGAUUAGGUAGUUGGUGGGAUAAAAGCUUACCAAGCCGACGAUCUGUAGCUGGUCUGAGAGGAUGAUCAGCCACACUGGGACUGAGACACGGCCCAGACUCCUACGGGAGGCAGCAGUGGGGAAUUUUGGACAAUGGGCGAAAGCCUGAUCCAGCCAUGCCGCGUGCAGGAUGAAGGCCUUUGGGUUGUAAACUGCUUUUGUACGGAACGAAAAGCCUCUUUCUAAUAAAGAGGGGUCAUGACGGUACCGUAAGAAUAAGCACCGGCUAACUACGUG